UACGUAGGGGGCAAGCGUUGUCCGGAUUUAUUGGGCGUAAAGAGCGUGUAGGCGGUUUGGUAGGUCCGUUGUGAAAACUCGAGGCUCAACCUCGAGACGCCGAUGGAAACCAUCAGACUAGAGUCCGGAAGGGGAGACUGGAAUUCCUGGUGUAGCGGUGGAAUGCGCAGAUAUCAGGAGGAACACCGGUGGCGAAGGCGGGUCUCUGGGCAGUAACUGACGCUGAGGAGCGAAAGCGUGGGGAGCAAACAGG
rnacentral:rRNA from 1 species